rnacentral:tRNA from 1 species
GGUCCGGUAGUUCAGUUGGUUAGAAUGCCGGCCUGUCACGCCGGAGGUCGAGGGUUCGAGUCCCUUCCGGAUCGCCA